GACAGAGGGGGCAAGCGUUGCUCGGAAUUACUGGGCGUAAAGGGCGCGUAGGCGGGAUGGCAAGUCGGUCGUGAAAUCCCUCGGCUCAACCGAGGAACGUCGAUCGAUACUGCUGUUCUUGAGGAUUGCAGAGGAGACUGGAAUUCCCGGUGUAGCGGUGAAAUGUGUAGAGAUUGGGAAGAACAUCCGUGGCGAAAGCGCUCUGCUGGACUGCAACUGACAUUGAGGGACGAAAGCUAGGGGAGCGAAUGGG
rnacentral:rRNA from 1 species